rnacentral:tRNA from 1 species
UCUGGAAUAGCUUAAGAAAAGCAUUGGACUUUUAAUUCAGAGAUGCCUUAGGGCUUCCGGAA